CAGCAGCCGCGGUAAUACGUAGGGUGCGAGCGUUAAUCGGAAUUACUGGGCGUAAAGCGUGCGCAGGCGGGCUUUUAAGCCAGACGUGAAAUCCCCGGGCUUAACCUGGGAAUGGCGUUUGGGACUGGAAGUCUGGAGUGCGGCAGAGGAGACUGGAAUUCCUGGUGUAGCAGUGAAAUGCGCAGAUAUCGGGAGGAACACCAAUUGCGAAGGCAGCUUGCUGGGACGGUACUGACGCUGAGGCGCGAAAGCGUGGGGAGCAAACAGGAUUAGAUACCCUGGUAGUCCACGCCGUAAACGAUGAGUACUGGGUGUCGCGGGUAGUUGACCCCUGCGGUGCCGUAGCUAACGCGUUAAGUACUCCGCCUGGGGAUUACGGUCGCAAGAUUAAAACUCAAAGGAAUUGACGG
rnacentral:rRNA from 1 species